UACGUAGGGGCUAGCGUUGUCCGGAAUCAUUGGGCGUAAAGCGCGUGUAGGCGGUCCGGUAAGUCCGCUGUGAAAGUCGGGGGCUCAACCCUCGAAAGCCGGUGGAAACUGUCGGGCUAGAGUGCGGAAGAGGCGAGUGGAAUUCCCGGUGUAGCGGUGAAAUGCGCAGAUAUCGGGAGGAACACCGGUGGCGAAGGCGGUUCUCUGGGCCUGUACUGACGGCUGAGACGCGAAAGCGUGGGGAGCGAACAGGAUUAGAUACC
rnacentral:rRNA from 1 species